UACGUAGGGUGCGAGCGUUAAUCGGAAUUACUGGGCGUAAAGCGUGCGCAGGCGGUUUUGUAAGCCAGAUGUGAAAUCCCCGGGCUCAACCUGGGAAUGGCAUUUGGGACUGCAAGGCUUGAGUGCGGCAGAGGAGACUGGAAUUCCUGGUGUAGCAGUGAAAUGCGUAGAUAUCAGGAGGAAUACCGAUGGCGAAGGCAGGUCUCUGGGCUGACACUGACGCUCAUGCACGAAAGCGUGGGGAGCGAACAGG
rnacentral:rRNA from 1 species